rnacentral:rRNA from 1 species
GACGAACGCUGGCGGCGCGCUUAAUACAUGCAAGUCGAACGAGAAGCCAGAGCUUGCUCUGGUGGAAAGUGGCGAACGGGUGAGUAACACGUGAGAAACCCUGCCCCAAAGAUUGGGAUAAGCCUUGGAAACGAGGUCUAAUACCAAAUACCUUCUUUUUAACACAUGUUAAAAAGAAGAAAUGCUCCGGCGACUUUUGGGAUUGGUCUCGCGAUCUAUCAGCUUGUUGGUGAGGUAACGGCUCACCAAGGCAUCGACGGAUAGCUGGUCUGAGAGGAUGUCCAGCCACAUUGGAACUGAGACACGGUCCAAACUCCUACGGGAGGCAGCAGUAGGGAAUCUU